rnacentral:rRNA from 2 species
ACGUUGAAUGACGUGCUUGCACUGAUUUCAACAAUGAAGCGAGUGGCGAACUGGUGAGUAACACGUGGGGAAUCUGCCCAGAAGCAGGGGAUAACACUUGGAAACAGGUGCUAAUACCGUAUAACAACAAAAUCCGCAUGGAUUUUGUUUGAAAGGUGGCUUCGGCUAUCACUUCUGGAUGAUCCCGCGGCGUAUUAGUUAGUUGGUGAGGUAAAGGCCCACCAAGACGAUGAUACGUAGCCGACCUGAGAGGGUAAUCGGCCACAUUGGGACUGAGACACGGCCCAAACUCCUACGGGAGGCAGCAGUAGGGAAUCUUCCACAAUGGACGAAAGUCUGAUGGAGCAAUGCCGCGUGAGUGAAGAAGGGUUUCGGCUCGUAAAACUCUGUUGUUAAAGAAGAACACCUUUGAGAGUAACUGUUCAAGGGUUGACGGUAUUUAACCAGAAAGCCACGGCUAACUACGUGCCAGCAGCCGCGGUAAUACGUAGGUGGCAAGCGUUGUCCGGAUUUAUUGGGCGUAAAGCGAGCGCAGGCGGUUUUUUAAGUCUGAUGUGAAAGCCUUCGGCUUAACCGGAGAAGUGCAUCGGAAACUGGGAGACUUGAGUGCAGAAGAGGACAGUGGAACUCCAUGUGUAGCGGUGGAAUGCGUAGAUAUAUGGAAGAACACCAGUGGCGAAGGCGGCUGUCUAGUCUGUAACUGACGCUGAGGCUCGAAAGCAUGGGUAGCGAACAGGAUUAGAUACCCUGGUAGUCCAUGCCGUAAACGAUGAGUGCUAAGUGUUGGAGGGUUUCCGCCCUUCAGUGCUGCAGCUAACGCAUUAAGCACUCCGCCUGGGGAGUACGACCGCAAGGUUGAAACUCAAAGGAAUUGACGGGGGCCCGCACAAGCGGUGGAGCAUGUGGUUAAAUUCGAAGCUAC